rnacentral:misc_RNA from 1 species
AGCAGCAGCAGCAGAGAAAUCAACAUCGUCGUGAACUUAAAUUGCAAAAAGGUUGACGCCACCACAGGCCAGACAUACAGGCGAGAGCCAAGGUUUCUGCUCCCUUGGCCCAUUGAUUGUUAUUGGAUAAUCCCGAAGCACAAGAGCCAAAUUAAACAAAAGUAGCUUUUAGAUAUUCACAUUUGCUAUACACUAAAAAGCCCCAAUAAACCAAGCAACAUGUCCUAGUAUUAGUAGCUAAGCAGCUUAGGUGGAAACGUGGACGAGUGUCAAACAGGAGCAGCAGCAGCAGCAGCAGCAGCAGCUGAAGCAGCCAAUGCGUCAGCAUGGCGUCCGGCGACGGGGACACCAUCCACACCAUUGACAUGGACAGCUCCUCCACAUCGCAGGCCAAACUGGCGGAGCCAGGCAAUGUCUCCACCGACCAUGUGGGUAACUCAUCGCCCGACCUGGGCAGUCGGCCGCUGCGCUCGGCGAACAAAGCGGACAAGGAGCGCAAGAUUGGACACAGGCGGGUCGGUGAGGGCGGCGAGAUUACCUACAAAAAGAUACAGACAUCGCAAAUCAUGGGCUCCAUACAGCUGGGCAUACAGCAUACGGUCGGCAGUCUGGCAUCGAAGCCAAAACGUGAUCUACUUAUGAUGGACUUCUGGGAAAUUGAGAGCAUUACGUUUCCGCCAGAGGGUUCUAGCCUUACACCUGCCCACCAUUAUAGUGAAUUCAGAUAUAAGAUCUAUGCGCCCAUAGCAUUUCGUUACUUUCGUGAUCUGUUUGGCAUACAGCCGGAUGAUUUCAUGAUGUCUAUGUGCACUUCGCCGCUGCGCGAACUAUCGAAUCCAGGUGCUUCCGGCUCAAUAUUCUAUUUAACGGACGAUGACGAGUUCAUUAUCAAAACGGUGCAACAUAAAGAGGGUGAAUUUCUACAAAAACUACUGCCUGGCUAUUAUAUGAAUCUCAAUCAAAAUCCGCGCACUUUAUUGCCGAAAUUCUUCGGCCUCUACUGCCUGCAAACGAGCAAUGCCAAAAAUAUUCGCCUGGUGGUGAUGAAUAAUCUGCUGCCGUCAUCGGUGCGAAUGCAUCUGAAAUAUGAUCUCAAGGGUUCGACAUUUAAGCGCAAGGCAUCGAAGGCGGAAAGGGCCAAGAAAUCGCCCACAUACAAGGAUCUGGACUUUAUGGAGCAGCAUCCGAACGGCAUCUUUCUGGAGGCUGAAACAUAUUCGGCUCUCAUUAAGACCAUACAAAGAGAUUGCACAGUGCUGGAAUCAUUCAAGAUAAUGGACUAUUCGCUGCUGCUGGGCGUGCACAAUUUGGAUGUGGCUUUAAAGGAGAAACUGAGCGAGCAUAGGAAACCGUUGAGAGCGCCGCUGGCCGAGGAUUCUGAUGUCGACGAGCCGCUAGAGGCAGCCGAGGGCGACGGCAAGGAACGCGACGCAGCAACGGGCAUCAGCAGAAACAAUGUGGCAUACAGAUCGGUGAAUCGGCAGCGCCUGGUCGCGCACUCCACGGCCAUGGAGAGCAUUCAGGCGGAAAGCGAACCCAUCGACGAUGAGGAGGAUGUGCCACCCGGCGGCAUUCCGGCACGCAGCGAGAAGGGCGAACGCCUGUUGCUCUACAUUGGCAUCAUCGACAUACUGCAAUCCUACAGGCUGAAGAAGAAGCUGGAGCACACUUUCAAAAGCAUAAUACACGACGGGGAGACCGUUUCGGUUUGUCGGCCCUCGUUCUAUGCUCAAAGAUUUCAAAACUUUAUGGCUAAAACCGUAUUCCGCAAGAUACCAUCGCUGGAUCUCCCAGAGAUCAAAGGAAAUCACAGAAAAUUUCGUACCUUGGUAACCAGUUAUAUAGCAUGCCUCUCAAUCUCACCGCUUAAGCAUUCGCCUUCGAAGAGAAAAAGCCUCUCCAAGGCCAUACAGCGCUCCAUAGACAGCGAGAACGAGUCGACACGUGCUGUGCACGCCUCGCACUCCCACAGCAGCGGCAAAAUUUUCCAGCAGUCGAAGAUGCCCACAACGGAGGGCACAUCAGCAGCAGCUGCUUCGGAAAGGGAGCGUGACCGGGACAGGGACAGGGACAGGGAUCGGGAUCGGGAUCGGGAAAGUGGGCGUCACUCCACCACACCUGGCCAGAGCAAUGUGCCACCGCCGGUGAGGCAGCGCGCGUCCGCCAAUCCGUCGACGACGGCCACGACUGCGACGGGAGGCAAUCUGAAGGCGCGCGUUCCUCCGCCAGUGCCACCACGCGGCUCGCCGCGUCGCAAGGAUACACAGGAGAGUCGGGCGCACUCCACCACGCCAGGCACAACUCCAUCAUGCAGUUCAACACCUCCCCCUGCCUUUGACGACAUCUCCGAGGACAGCUCGAACAAGAACAGCACAUCCUCGACUGGGCGCAGGUCGCAGCACCAUCAUCAUCAUCAUCAUCAUCACCAGCAACAGCAGCAGCAGCAGCAACCUUCCUAUUAUCAGCAACAGCCACAGUAUUUGGAACGAAAAAUGAAUAUUGGUCCCGCCUAUCGUGGCUCCUAUAAGGAGGAUAUCGUGAGCGUCUCUGAGGUGCAUCUGGACACGUUUCUGGCGGUGGACACCUCAACGAGCAGUCACUAUGGCUCACGUGGCGGCUUGGCCUGGACGCCACCGGCAUCAGGUGAGGGCUCAACACCCACUUGGACAGAGGGCACACCCAGUUUUACGGACUCCAGUUCGAGUGGUGAUCUCGACAACUUCUCGCCCAUAAAUUCAUCUAAAAUCGAUCGACACAAGCCGACAGUGGAAGAUGCCAUCAACUCUCUGUCCUCGGGAAUGAUCAACUAACAUAGCAUGUGAUGAUGGACACAGAACAAAAGCAGCAACUAAUUCUCGUAUACAUGAGGCAAACAGAAUUCGAAUAAAAGUACAGACAAACAUAUUGCAAGGAUAAUGCUCGAGUGUUUAGGUACAGAGGUGUGCACAUACUUUGAUAUAUAAUAGAUACUGGGCGACCUUGUAGAGCUCCAUGAAUGAAGUACCCGGAAAUCAGAUUCAACACUUCCCCACACAUCCAGCAAUUUCUACAUGCAUUCGUAUAUUUACAGGAUACCAGCAACAGAUAUCGUUCAAGAAAUAUAUAUAUAUAUAUACAAACAAA